ensembl:snoRNA
AUUUAAGACAAAAUCCAGUACCCCUCUCAGGAAAGUAGCAACUUGGAAUAGAAUCUGGCAUGCUUAAGGUCUUUUGGGGAACAGGGAUGCUUAUUUCCUCUGCCUUCCUUGACUGCCUACAUGG